AGCAGCCGCGGUAAUUCCAGCUCCAAUAGCGUAUAUUAAAGUUGUUGCAGUUAAAAAGCUCGUAGUUGAAUUUCGGGGUUCAUCCGUUGGUCGGGCUUUUUUGGUCUGUACUGGCGUGAUGGAUUCCUACCUUCUGAAUAACCAGCAUGUCAUUAAUUUGGUGCGCUGGGGAAGCAGGACUGUUACCUUGAAAAAUUAGAGUGCUUAAAGCAGGCUAUCGCCUGAAUACAUUAGCAUGGAAUAAUGAAAUAGGACGGCAUGGUUCUAUUUUGUUGGUUUCUAGGAUCACCGUAAUGAUUAAUAGGGAUAGUUGGGGGCAUUAGUAUUCAAUUGUCAGAGGUGAAAUUCUUGGAUUUAUUGAAGACCAACUUCUGCGAAAGCAUUUGCCAAGGAUGUUUUCAUUAAUCAAGAACGAAAGUUAGGGGAUCGAAGACGAUCAGAUACCGUCGUAGUCUUAACCAUAAACUAUGCCGACUAGGGAUCGGACGAUGUUAAUUUUUAAUGUACUCGUUCGGUACCG
rnacentral:rRNA from 1 species